CUGGGAAUUGCCAUGGGAAUACUGGGAAUAAUGGGAAUGGUGGGAAUGGUGGCUCUGGGAAUGGUGGGAAUGCUGGGAAUGGUGGGAGUGCUCCUGAGUGCUGGGCGUGCGCACCCCCCCGGCCCCCCGCAGCACCCAGGAGUGCGAGGUGAGCACGGGAAUUGCCAUGGGAAUACUGGGAUUAAUGGGAAUGGUGGCGCUGGGAAUGGUGGGAAUGGUGGUGCUGGGAAUGGUGGCUCUGGGAAUGGUGGGAGUGCUCCUGAGUGCUGGGCGUGCGCACCCCCCCGGCCCCCCGCAGCACCCAGGAGUGUGAGGUGAGCACGGGAAUUCUGGGAAUUCUGCUCCUGGAAUGGUGGGAAUGGUGGGAAUGGUGGUGCUGGGAAUGGUGGUGGUGGCUCUGGGAAUGGUGGGAGUGCUCCUGAGUGCUGGGCGUGCGCACCCCCCCUCUGGAGCUGCUGGGAAUGGUGGCUCUGGAUCCAUUGGGAAUGAUGGCUCUGCUCCCUCUGGAUGCACUGGGAAUGAUGGCUCUGGGUCCACUGGGAAUGGUGGUUCUGGUCGCUCUGGAGACACUGGGAAUGGUGGCUCUGGAGCCAUUGGGAAUGUUGGCUCUGCUCCCUCUGGAGCCACUGGGAAUCUCAGUGCUCAUCUGGGAAUGGUGACUUUGUUCCUCCUGGAUCUACUGGGAAUGCUGGCUCUGGAUCCACUGGGAAUGCCAGAGCCAUUCCCUCGUCUCAGAUCUGUGAAUCCCAGCACUGAUCCACCGGGAAUCCCAGCACUGAUCCACCAGGAAUACCAGCACCGCUCCCAUCCCUUGGGAUCCGCUGGCAAUGGGAUUUCAGCAUCGUUCCAUCUCCCUGGAUCCGCUGGGAACGCUGGUGCUGAUCCCACUUUUCCCCCCCUCCCCGG